rnacentral:rRNA from 1 species
UACGUAGGGGGCUAGCGUUGUCCGGAUUUAUUGGGCGUAAAGAGCGUGUAGGCGGCCAGGUAGGUCUGCUGUGAAAACUCGAGGCUCAACCUCGAGACGUCGGUGGAAACCUGUGAGCUAGAGUCCGGAAGAGGAGAGUGGAAUUCCCGGUGUAGCGGUGAAAUGCGCAGAUAUCGGGAAGAACACCCGUGGCGAAGGCGGCUCUCUGGGACGGUACUGACGCUGAGACGCGAAAGCGUGGGGAGCGAACAGG